GUCUAUGGCCAUGCCAUCUUCGACAAGCCCGAUGUCUGAUCUUGGAAAUUAAGCAAGGUCAGGCCUGGUUAGUACUUGGAUGGGAGACCACCUAGGAAGACUAGGUGCUGUAGGCA
rnacentral:rRNA from 1 species